AGAGAGAGAGAUUUUAGAGAGAGAGAGAGAGUGUGUAUGUAUUGGUAGAGAGAGAGGAUUUAUCGGAAAAUUCCUGCAUUUGAAUCGGAGGAUCUGAAAUUAGGGUUUCUAAUUGCAAUCGUAUCGAAUUGAAUUUUCAGAUAUGGACUUAGAUUCUUCAAUGGCGUCAGAAGCCGAUCAGGAUCCAGUUCAGAAUAACGGGCCAACAUUGGUGAACAAGUCAUCAAACGCCGGAG
rnacentral:misc_RNA from 1 species